rnacentral:lncRNA from 1 species
CCUGCAGACUGCGGUUCGUAGCCUCCGCUCUGCUCAAACAAUAUACAUGGCAUCAUCAUGUAUGUGUAUAUCCCCUCUGCUCAAAUCGAACACGCAAUUAUCAUCCACACACACAAAAAGAAACAAAUCAAAUAAGGAAAAACUUUGUUCCUUCAGAUAAACGAUGGGUUGCACAAGACCCCACAGCCACAUACACUUACACAUACAUAAGCUGUUGUAUCUAUGAUCUAUCCAUGAUGGUUUCAGAGCAACAAAUGCUAAGCCGGCAUAAGUACAUACAUACAUACAAAAAUGCAAGUAGUUCAGCCAAAACUAAGCAUGCCUGUACGUCGUUUAAUUAGACUCCAAAUCGACGAGGCAUGGUGGCACUGGGGGAUGGAUGACAACGAACCUGUACCGAUUAUAUAUAUAUAUACGCACGUCGCACAUAGCAGAGGAAGGGGGAGCUUGGAGGGCUCGACCAACGGCACGCAUGGCUGGCCGGGUUGGCCGUGCUCUCAGUCUCAGUCAGAAGAAGCCGCGGCGGAGCGGCGGGGGCUGCAAGAGGGCGACGAACGCCAGGACGGCGACGGCGACGAGGAGCAGAGCCAUGAGGAUGUUCUCGUCGACGGGGAGCAGGCACACCUUCCCCAUGAUAUGCAGGGGAGCUCAACUGCAAGGGCGUUGGCAACGGCUUUGGUCAGGCCUGGAUGCGUGUUCCUUGUUGUUAUAGCUGUUCAAGUCUCUCUGUCUCUGUCUC